GAACUCUCUCAGACUUCCUGUGAUAAAGAGCAUUUACUUGCACCACUGCUAUGCAGCUCCUUCAGGGUGUGUUUGUGUUCCAGGACAAAUGCUUACUUACAUCUGUAAAAACAAUUUUAAAAAAUCACAGCUAAAAUAAAACCAAAGUUGAAUAACUGUUAGCAAGUUGAGGGAUGUUGGGCAAAGGGGGGAGAGUGGUUGACAGUCAUCCAUAAUGCAAUGCAUGCAAGCAUAUUCUCGAAUGUAUGAGACAACUGUGAGUGGGGAGAAGACAUUUUUAGAAUAAGGAGUGUAGUUUAAAUUAAUCAUGAUGUGUAAAGGCUCUUUUUUUGCUUCUUCAAAAUGCUGGAAAACAUUAAAUGCAAUAUAGAAAGAAGGCAGCACACACAAUUUGUAUGGGUCGUGUUCACAGAAUGAAAUAUUGUAAUGAUUUACUGGAUCUUACAUGCUCAUAUUUGAAGAAAAAAAAACACUACAAUUGCUUUUGGAGUGCGGAUCCAGUGUGGAGGUGAACAGUGACUAAAAAUGCCCUUUGACUUCUUGGCAUGCUUCUUCCAGUGUUUCUUCUUUAGCUUCAUAUAUCACAGAGUAAACAAUGAUGACAUGCACAAACCUGCCUAAGAGUGACAAGAAUGAUCUGUCCAACCCCUUCCAGGCACAAAGAGGUCUCUGAGAUGAGUCUGCUAAUGGUGAAAACAUACAGAGGGUCAAGAUAAAGCAGUGACCUAUCAGCUGAAAAUCUGUUUCAUGACAAAUGAGAUGAGUAGGUAUUUUAAGAGUAAAGGCAGACAUCCACUGGAAUUUUGAUAAAAAGAAGAGCUAAAAUUAUAGGACUUAGAGUUAACUAAAUUUCACACAAUAAAACAACUUGAAUGCCAAUUUCAAGGUGUCUUACGGCUCAUCAGUUGGCAUCUUUGAUUUUUUGAACAUCGACGUAUGUUUGCAUUGAAAUGAUAAAAAACAGACCAAGAAGAGAUAAGAGUGAGAGUAGGAUUUGGAGUUAAAAACAGUGACGCUGCCACUCGGCCAGCUGUGGAACUCUUGACCCUGUCAAGUCCAUACACAGUGGAUUAAAAGGGUUGGAUGACAUCCAUCUGUUGGGGCCUUAGGGGAUGUAGUAAAGCAUUAAAACUACAGGCAGCCAAAGGUGCGUGAAAUCUGCUACAGUAUUUUCUAGGACUCUUCAAUUCUAGUCCUUAGCUAAAAAUUUGUACAAAGUUCUUCAGCUGUGAUAAUGGACAUGACCUGUAAGUUUUUGCAGUUUCCUCGGGGCAGCCCACUAUACUGCCUUUGGAUACAAGAGAUGUCAGUGUUCAGAGCAGCUGGAAUCAGACUGGUGACAAUGACAAUAAAUAUUUGUAAUUCGUUAGAGACAUAGUGAAGCUUUAACUUUGCUGGUCAAAUUGUAACUAUCAUAAUAGUAUUUAUUGAUGAAACUCACAGUCCUUCCAUUGUACAGAUUGCAACACUUUCUUUAAAGAUCCAACAUACUGAUGUACAUUAUAUUUAUUACUAUGUAUAAUAUUAAUAUGUCACCCUGGUGUAUUUUACAUAAUAUAUGAUGCAUAGAAAAUGAGUUACUGUAUAUUAUGAUGCUUUCCAAAUAUCAGUCUGUUGAAAUGUUUAAAUAUUCAGAUUUUUUUCAUCUAAAAUAUGAAAAUCUGUUUUGUGAAACAGGUGAUUCUUUUUCUCUAGAAAUGCUUUGGCAUGUUUACCUUUUUAUUUAGGGUUCUUUCUGCAUAGACACAGUUUGGUGUCAAACUAUCAUAAGAUCAAUAGUUAAUAUAAAAUACCUUAGCCAGACUGGGUCUGUAUUGUCUGCAUUUUAUAUAAAACUAUAGAAAAGUUUAUGUUGCCUUUUCAACACGUAAGGAGGAACUGUGUCCCCAAAUAUAGUCAGAGCUUCUUUUUCCAAAUGCAAGAGACUUGUCCUAAAUUCAAAGUAGAUCUCUUAUGUUUUAGAAGUCUGGUGGUAUAGGCACUACAGAUACAACAUUAAAAUUUAAGGAAAUGCUUAAGGGAAAUGGAAAGACAAAAAGGCAGCUGGUAUAAUCAGUUAACUGUGCUCAGUUCUGCUUCAGUUUUUAUGUUGUGUUUCUUCUUCAGGUGAAAUAGUAUAAUCUUAAUUUCUUUGAGAUGGAGUUUGUAAGUAACACACUACCAGCAAGUUCAACACUGCUAGUGAUUUUAAUGUUUGCUUUGUUCAUAUGAUAGCUUUAAUUCCAAGUUUUAUGGUAGUAACUGUAUAUUAUUUGGCUGCUGAAUCCUGUUACAACUUAAAAAUUCUGUUGUACAUUGUAUUAUACACAUCAUUACAUAUUAACAUGAAGGGGAAUAUAUGUUACAUAUCAAAAAAAUUGUGAAUUUGAAUUCUAGUAUGUUUUAGUGCUUUUGCAAAAAUGUUUAUUUUUAUAUUAUGUGAUUUUAAUAUAGAUAAUUGAACUAGAUUUCUUUGUGAUUAAUAGUACCAUUGAAUGAGCGGUAUGGAAACAGUGUUACUUGACGUUUUGAGCUUUCUCAGGUUUAUCUAAAUCAAUGGUAGCUUAACAAAUUCCAGACUAAUUGUGCAAAAUCAUGUUUUAAAAUUUAUUUCCUAUAAGUUUGCAUGCAGAAGUGUUCAAUUUCAAGUGUGUGUGUAUGUGUGUGUGUAUGUGUUGUCUAAGGCAUGGCAGCCAACUUCGUAUCUCCUGUUGAUAAUAACAGCAGAGCUUUGAUAUAAUUAUGGCCAUUAGAAUUGUACCUACCAUAGAUAAUUAAAACUGAAAAAGUCUCAAUAAAACUAUGAAA
rnacentral:lncRNA from 1 species